rnacentral:rRNA from 1 species
AACGAACGCUGGCGGCAUGCCUAACACAUGCAAGUCGAACGAAGGCUUCGGCCUUAGUGGCGCACGGGUGCGUAACGCGUGGGAAUCUGCCCUUUGCUUCGGAAUAACAGUUAGAAAUGACUGCUAAUACCGGAUGAUGUCGCAAGACCAAAGAUUUAUCGGCAAAGGAUGAGCCCGCGUAGGAUUAGCUAGUUGGUGGGGUAAAGGCUCACCAAGGCGACGAUCCUUAGCUGGUCUGAGAGGAUGAUCAGCCACACUGGGACUGAGACACGGCCCAGACUCCUACGGGAGGAAGCAGUGGGGAAUAUUGGACAAUGGGCGAAAGCCUGAUCCAGCAAUGCCGCGUGAGUGAUGAAGGCCUUAGGGUUGUAAAGCUCUUUUACCCGGGAUGAUAAUGACAGUACCGGGAGAAUAAGCUCCGGCUAACUCCGUGCCAGCCGCCGCCGUAA